rnacentral:misc_RNA from 1 species
UCCUGGUUAACCCAGGCAGUCUCAUUAGAGUUCCCACCUUUAUGUGUUGGCAACUAAUGAUAAGGGUUGCGCUCGUUGCUGGACUUAACCAAACACCUCACGGCACGAGCUGACGACAGCCAUGCAGCACCUGUGCACAGGCCCCUAAGGGCUAAGACAUUUCUGCCUUAUUCCUGUGCAUGUCAAACCUGGGUAAGGUUCUUCGCGUUGCAUCGAAUUAAACCACAUACUCCACUGCUUGUGCGGGUCCCCGUCAAUUCUUUUGAGUUUCACCCUUGCGAGCGUACUCCCCAGGCGGUAUACUUAACGCGUUUGCUUCGGCACAACUAGGGUUGAGUCCAGUUACACCAAGUAUACAUUGUUUACGGCAAGGACUAC